UGCUAUUCGGAUUAAAAGGGAAUCGGGUGCAAAUCCCGGACAGUCCCGCUGCUGUGAAACUCUGCUGGAAUCUUGAAAAAUACCUUUGCCACUGAUGUGACAAUCCUCACAUCGGGAAGGCUUCAAGAUAAGGAGUCAGUCAGAAGACCUGCCAUUCAUUAA
rnacentral:ncRNA from 1 species